CAUUCCUAAAGAAGGAAAGAUCUGCUGCUUCUCUUCUGUUCCUGUUUGCAUCCCUCACAGUGCUUGAAAUGUGCUGUAUCCUGAGUUAUUCUUAAACAAGCCUUCCCAUUGUUCGAGUCAUGGGUUAUGAAUUCCAUCCCUUUGAAGAAAUAUGACCCGUGCAAUGGAAAAGUGAGAAUGAUGUGAAGUCUGCACGAGAUACUCAUGGCGGUGACAUACAGGAAAAGGAUGAGUGCUUUGCACUGUCCUCAUGAAUGAAGCCACAGGAAGGAGGUGUGACAGGGCAGCGGGUGAGCUGCUGGGAAAUUUCCAUGGUUCCUAAAGCCCCACUGGCUCAAUUUACAUCCUCACCUUGCAUUUCCAUUGACUGAAAGUGUUCCUCAUAAAGGGCUCCUCUGGCACGGAAAGACGUGUCUCUGCUAAGAGGUGGUGGCUUUUCUUGACACCUAACAUGAGUGAUUCAGACCUAAUUUGUGACAUUUGUGUUGUGAUAGCCUGUGCUGAGCAGGGCACAUAUACAUGAGUACACGUCUCUACCUGGGAUGGGGUAAUCCUGGUGCUGAUCUCCUCUCUUUGGUGACCAGCAACAGGACACGAGGAGAUGGAAUGAAGCUGUGUCAGGGAAAGUUCAGAUUGAUCAUUAGGAAAAGAUUCAUUACUGGAAGGGUGGUCAAUGACUGGAACAGGCUCCCCACAGCACCAAGCAUGCCAGAGUUCAAGGAGCAUCUGGAGGAUGCUCUUAAUCAUCUGAUUUAGUGUUAUGUAGUCCUGCGAGGAGCAAGGAGUUGGACUCAAUGAUCCUUAUGGGUCCCUUCCAACUCAAGAUCUUCUAUGAUUCUAUGACAGUCAUCAGUCCUUUGCACAUCUCCCCACAUUAGCACUGCUCCUUUAUUCUCAUCAGUAAGGCCUGCUGGGUACUUGCAAGAGUGGGAGAAAACAUUCGUGCUGCUAGAGACCAACAGUGCCUCUCUGAUGGCUGCAGUCUCCUCCUAAGGACACAGUUACCAUCCAUGCAGGAUGUAUUUGCCACAGCCAAAGGCCUGGUGGAGGCAGGCACUGAGCAUCACUGAAUGCAGCCUGCAGCCUGGACUGUUUGGGGUUUGCUGCUGGGGCUCUGUGCCCCGCAUUGUCCCUGUGGGCACUUGGCUUUUUGUUCACUCAACACCAGUAGCACCUGCACUUGCUGCCACUGGUUGCAAUACCUAUUGCCGAGCCUCAGUGACUCGCUCCUGGAGGCUGCUAUCAUGCAAAAAGGAAGAAGAAAGCAAAACAAGCACAGCCAGGAUCCACAUAAUACUGCCGCAGCUCUGCCAGGAAACGGACUGUAAAAGUUCCUGUAUUUAAAGCCAGGAGAUGAGUUUUAUUGUUAGUGGUUGUUAUAGCAACCCGAGGUGCCUGAGAGUAAUACAUUCUCAGCGCAUUGCAACAGACUCUGACAAGUUCAAGGCUGUUGCCUUGCUGCUAAAUCUUGUUGCCAAGGCAAUGAAACAUAAGGCAAGAGCCUAGAGAAAUGAAUACUGCUGACAGCUCGUGCCAACAGGCUAGGGCUGAUUAAAAGGGAACUUUUGAAACUGAUGUUAACUUAAACAGCGCAGCAGCAGCAGAAGGGAAAUGGGAGCACAGAGAUGGAGGAGAGGAUCCAGAGGAGGAGCAGUGGGUUAAUGUCAAGCAACAGGUCUCAUCUGCCCUUGAUGUUUGUGACAGUAGGACCCUUCUUGGAAGGUUUCCCAGACCAUCUUUACCACCCCAAGCUUGUUGUGCGAUGUCUCCUCCAGGACAGAUGGGAUGCCCAGCGGAAGCUCAGACCUCCCCAGAAGAAACCAUGGCUGAAUCACACUGCAGCUAAGUACACCUUGACACACGCUCCUAAACAUGGAGGCACAACCCAAGGGCAUCCUCCUCUGCUUUCUUUUGCCUCCUACCCCUCUCCCCUGCUGUGCCCCUAUUUAGUUGUUUGAAGGCCACCCCCAGAGAAGCAAUGUGGAGCCGGGACAGUGUGUCAUCAAGAUAGCUACUGAUAGCAGAGUAGACAGAGCUAUUUCCAGAAUGAUUAAUACUAUUAGCACAUGCUGAAGCUUCAGGCUGAACAUAAGCUUUAGAGGGAUGGAUUUUGAUGUAAAAAGUGAAUAAAUGAGACAACUGUCAGAACAAUGAGUGAUGAACCAAGUAAAGAUCAGGAGAUGCAAAGCACUGCCUACUGGCCUCUUUUCACUGCAGCUGCUGGUAAAAAAUUCCUGUUGCCUUUAAGGCUGGAGAAUUAGCCCAGCAAUAGCAUGUGGCACAGAAGUAACCCAACUAGCAGGCACGAACACUAGUCCCACAAUUAGCCAUAUGGCAUUUUAGCAGGGCACAGCAAUGGUAAUGUCCCAGGAUCCAAAGCACUGCUCCCCUCCCAGCCCAAACCAUGCACCACUGCUCCUGGAGCAUGUUCUGGAUAUCUUUGUACUGCCCUUUACUGUGCAUACCUGGAGUGCCUGCAAGAGUAACAGGCUGAGGGCUUGCCCUGUUGCUGAAUAAAAAGCAUGUCUUAAAAGAGCCGUCUGAUUUACACUAUCUUCUCAUAAUCCCCACUCCAGAGGUCUGAAAUGCUAUAAUUGAAAACCUGCUGUUCAUCUUCUGAAAGUGAGGCUUAACCUGCUGUAGGCAGCUCCCAGAAGGACAGUGUUUUGCAUAAUCAGGUACAUUACAGGGAAUAUGUUUAGCAUUUUUCUGGUUUUCUCCUCCUGACACUUCUCUCACAGGAGAGCAAGCAAACAAAAUCUAGUCAUAGCUGUGCAAUAUCCUCUUCCCCAAUUCCUUUUUUUUAACCCCAAUCAUCGAGGCUACUUGUUUUCCUAAGAAUAUCAUGUGAAAACCCAGAAAUGGGUUUUCAUUUCUGUUUUGAAAAUGUAUUCCUCUCUUUUUUACAGGAGAUGUCUUAGCAAUAGAUGUCUUGAAUGGAUUCACCAAAAUCUGGUGGGUUUUGUGACCUUAGAUCCACAUCUGCAAAGAAGUCAUAUGCACAGGGUGUUUCUCUGGAGUAGCUAAUUCAUCUUGGACUGAGCCAUACGAUCCCCUUUUCCAGUCUUGCCUUAUGGCCUCUGUGGAAUGUCACAUUGGCUGCAAGGGAAUUAUUAGGUCUUGGCAAGACAUGUUAAUACCCUCAAAAAGACUUGUUAGGGACCAAGACUUCAGCCUCCAACUAUUUCCUCUGAUAAAGCAGAGCAUUCACAGCAGUUCAUUAGUCUUGAAUCACCAGUUUGAGAGAAACUAAAGCUUCUCACAAACCAGAAGGACUCUGCAAGUAAAUCUGGCUGGUGUUGCCUGACUGCUAGCUGUCUUUGAAACCAAAGCACAAAGUGUUAAAUCCCAUUAGAGAAAUCAGUGGCUUAGGACACUUCAGUCAAGGGUCGGGAAUAUGUACACCAAGGUGGAAGAUAAAUUAUGAAUUAUGGCAACACCUGAUGUGCUGGGAUUUGAAAGUCCAUCAGAACAUCUGAAAACUUCAACUCUCAUACGUGGGGAUGCACAUUUGAUGUUUUUUCCUGAAGACCAUUCAUAGACAAAGUUUGUAGCAGCAACAGAACUACAUGUUCAGUCCCUUAGAGCUGUUGUUUUGAGUUGUUGGUUGUUUUUUUUAAUACUCGGUGUUAUCUUUCCAUUAGUGUCCAAAAUUACACUGAUAAUCCUGGAAAGCACCAGAGCAUGAGUAUCAUAUCUGCAGCUGGAUCUUUCUGCUAGGAAGUCAGCUACACAGCAUGGAAAGUAUUUUUGUUACCUCAUUUUGAAUCACUGAUAACAACAUUACAAGUGAAGGGGCUGUAUUUUUCAUCCAUGAGAUGGGGAGGAGCUAUUCCCACAAUCCCAGCACCAUCCCAAGCACCCACUCACAAGGCAGAGAGGCAGGAUCUGAGUUACGCAUUUUGUAAACCAGGAGGAGCUUUCUCAAAUGUGGAGGGCACAGCACUGGUGCAAGUGACAGAGGGUGGAUCACAAAACAGGUACCUCCAUGCCAGCUUCCCCAAGCACUCAUAUCACUGAGUUGAGCUUCAGAGCACAGCACAGAGGACACACAGUAAAGGAACCUGAGAGCUGGCCCCAGCACCAGCCACCAGAGUACUCAAUCUAAGUAAGGGUAUCAAUCAGAUGCUCAGAAACUCCCAGCUGACUCAUGGCCCCAUUUCUUGGCUGUGUGCUGGCCUCUUUACACCUCUGGUGUUGGAAAAGGAAGUGAAACAGCUGGUUCUCAUGUUCUCAUUCAACAGCUUUGAAACCCCCCCAAGUUGUAGAAAAAUGAAGCAGAGCUGCAAGGUCUGGAGUUGGUUUCCUAACUGAAAGCCAGGCAGGAUGCUGGAUCCAUAGCUGCCGUUUGGUUUGACGGAAGGCCAACUCCAACACCACCAUUCUCAUCUGCUUUAAUGUCAGCUGAACAUUUGUGUGCCAUUUUCCCACCCAGCAGCACCCAAACCUGUACCAAAGACUAAAGUACCCCCAACUUUCUGUGGAGUGAUGGCACAAAUUGCAGUUUUGUUCAGUGCCAUUUGCUGUCACUCGAUCCUUGUUUUUGACACAGGGCUCCAAAGCAGAAUCCCAGUUCAGCAGCUACCCUAGGAUGUGUCCCAUUUCAGCCUCUCUCAGGCUUUGCAUAUCCAUAGUUAGGCGCAUGUUUAAAUAAAUCACUACAGCUAUGCUUAAGCCUGGAGAAAAAGUAUCCCGGCAGGACAAAAACUGGCUUGGUCAACCAUACACAAUGAGAUGCGUUCAAGCCAGCUAAUGGGUAAUCCCGUGUCUAUGUACCACAAAUACACAACAUAACUCACUGUCCCACUUGGCAGAAAAGUGUUAUUGCCUCUUGGGAAACAAGCAUUCCUCAUCAAAGACUAUUCUUGUAGAAUAAAAAAUCAAACUAAA